rnacentral:rRNA from 1 species
UGUCGAAGGUGGGAUCGGCGAUUGGGACGAAGUCGUAACAAGGUAGCCGUACCGGAAGGUGCGGCUGGAUCACCUCCUUU